rnacentral:lncRNA from 1 species
UGAGCCUACCAUCUUCACGCCUAAGAAUAGCUUGUGUCUUUAGUCACUAUUAUCCUUAUUUAUAAAGGCAGUUCAUUGUCCAUGGUGCUCAGAGUAGGUGGGAGCCCAGACUGUAUUUCAUAUCUAAUUCUGGAGACAAGGACCUAAUUAAGCAAGCAUUCCUCACGGCAGGAGGUGGAACCAACAGAACUGAAGGUUUUCAGUAUAACCAUUGCUGAAAACACAGUUAAAAGUAGCACUAAUCCCUCCCUUCUCAGUUGCUUCUCAGUUACUUCCUGACACUCUUAUUUAAAAAAUAUUGGAAUCUUGAGACAGUGUUAAUUCUGAAAGUGCCACUCUGACUUCCGAAAUUGUCUGCUUGCUCUCUUCUUAAAUUAUACAAUUUAAAAGAAAGAAGUGUAUUUGAAACAGACACACUGGGGAUUGUAGCAUCAGUAGUGUGGUUGCAGAGAAAAACCCCUUUGCCUCCAAGCCAGGAAGUUGGCCCUCGAUCCUCCUGAGAAAAGAAAUGAGAGAACAUUCUUCUCACUUUCAUCUGCAACCUCUGGGUCUAUACUUGGUGAGGAGUGAGAUUUGCCAGAAAACAAGACACCUCCUCAGAUUAUGCCUUGACUUUUCCUGCCUGUUGAAAAUCUACAUCUCUCCCAGCACAGUUACACCCUUAGAAGAAAGAUUCAUGAAGGCAGCCAUCUGUCAGGGAAAUAGAUGCCCUGCAUUUACUCUGAAACUGCCUCCUUCUAAGACUUGCCCUUGAGAUGGUUCCCAGUGUGGAAUGUACUGCCGUUUGCUGCUGUGUGGGAACUCAGACUGCAUUUCACAUGAACUUGUGUGUCAAAGCCGGGCAUGAGAAAUAUCCAUGAUUUUAUGUAUUUGAAUCCUGGUCUUGCACUUACUAUCAAGACGGACUUUGUCUAUUAUUUAGCCUUUUUGAGCCCCAGUUUGCUCAUAUGUAAAAUGAAUAUCAGAAUGCCAAUUUGUUAGAAUGAUUGUUAGAGUUCGCUGGUAUGCUAUAGGCGCAAUGACUAGUACCUUACCUAGCACAUAGGUUGCACUUAUUAAGUGUUACUUAUUCCAGGCUCGUGGAUGCCAGUGUCUGGAAUCAUCAAGGGUAUUAAGGCACCACUGAUAUAGUCAUCUCAGGCUCCAGGAUACUAGGAAGCAGUUGGAAAAUACUAUCUCCUCAGGCCUUUCCUUUACUAAUCUCAUAGAACCAGAGCUUUGGGGAUGAGGAAGAGCAACCUCAGAGAUGAGGACAAUUCAUCCUAUGGUGCCAACUCUUCCAUCUCUAUUUCACAGAACAGGCUGGUUGAGAAAUUCUCCACAUCGACAAGGUCAGUUCUCAUGAGGCCAUACCACUUGGCUGAGCUCCCGGGGCUAUCAGGCCACUGUAUUUAUCUUAAGAAAACCUCUAGUUGCAUGCUGAUUUAGAGGGAGUCCACAUUGUCCUAGCAGAAAAUCAGCUGUCAGAGUGAUGUUCUGUGCCAAUGGUUUAAAUAAUUUACUCUCAUACAUUACAAAAUAUUCAUUGUAGAUUAUUUCCAAUGGUGAGGUGGUAGAAUACCUGAUAGAGUUCUAGUGAGCUUUUACUUGGCAGAUGGUAACUCCUGAUUCAUUUCAAAUGGGACAUUUACAUCCCGGUAACAUGAUAUGCAGAAAUGUCAGGUGGAGUGUCAAGUGGUACUCCAGCCUAACGGAUGACAAGAGGCAAAGGAAGCACGUGGGAGAUGAAUGUGACUAUUGCUUUCAUGGCAUUGCCUUUUCAUGAUGCAUUUGCUACGAGGCACAGAAGAAUUCUAUUCUAUGGGAAAAAAAGCACUUCUCAAUUUUCCUAGGAAAAUAAAUAAUCACCAGAUGUAGUCUUUUCAAAUUAAAUGUUUCAGUUGGUAUCAGACAGGCAGCACCUGGAAAGGCGAACAUGACUGUGUAUGAUGGCUCCAAAUAGCACAGGUAAAUUUAGAAUCUUCACUCAGGAAAAGGAGUGCGAUUCCUCUGGCUCUUACAACUGCUUGUGUUCAUGUUCUAAGUUGAAAUGUAAUGCAUACUGUCAUCCUCUGGUCUCUGUGGAGCCCACUCAUAUUUCCUUUCACUGUCUAUCAUCCUCCUUGUCCCCCAUCCAUCACACACCUUCUCUCUCGCUUCCCUAUCCAGGCUCUGGCCACUCACUCACAUCUUUACCUACUCUGUUUACGUCUUUGAAUGCACACAGGCAUGUGUGUGUGUUAGGGUCUCCCUGUGGGGUUAUAUACUUGAGCAUGUGUGGACCUGAAUGUAAGCUGACUGAAGAGAUCUCAGCUUCCAACUGGGUAGUCACCUGAAUCUCAGUUUUCAUUCUUCCCUGAUCCUUAAGUCUCUGGCAUUGUUCCUUCAGGGUUGGUUUUGCAGAGGUCACAUUUGCCGAAUUUGAAUUAAAAAAGAUUCUUCCCUCCCACUGUUUCCUCUUAUCUCUUUCCUUAGUAAAGGAAACAAUAGGAAGAACAUUUAGGGUCAAAGAGUUAUCUGCAUUUUGAUUUCAGGAACUGUUUUCAGGUUGGCAGAAGUUCUGUGUCACAGAUGUAUUAGUUAUGGUAUUACAGCAUAGAGAGGAAACACAAUCACAUCCUCCACCAUGAGACAAAAGUGGCAUAGACACCUGGAGGUGAGCUGGACCUUAAGAAGUCAUUGUUCCACUUUUUACAAUUGGGAGGCAGCUUCAUACACUUAGUCCUGGUGUUUCAUGGAAUUGGUGAUACAUGCCAGGCACACCAAAAUACCUUUACCUUCUGUAAGAACAUAAAACAAUAUUCUAAUUCUUAAAUUGUUUGAAUGUUUCUAAUAAUAUGAAGAGUCUAUUAUUAUCCAAAAUAAAAGAGAAAGAAUACAAUAUCUAAAACUUAAACUGAUUUCCUACUAUGUACCAGGCAUUUUAAUAUACUUUUCUUCUCAAUAUUCAAUCUUUAUAACCAUUCUGCAUGGUGCUGUUAUUUCUGAAAGUUGGCAUGGUUAAAUGGCUUUCGUUAUGCUAUCUACCUAUUAAGUAGCAGAGCUAGAAUAAUAGCUGUAACCCUCUAUCAGUAGUCAUCUAUUAUCUAGGUGCACAAUGGGUACAGAAGUGAAUUUCCAAUAGCUUUCUUCCCUGCCUAGGCCUUAGUAAUAUGUUGGUUACUUUUCAUCCUUUGUUCUCAAGUUAGGACUCUAACUCCUAGAAUUCAGGAUUUAUGUAAAAUUCAACUUGAUAUCAAAUCAGUAUGUAGUUCAUAGUAAGUCCUUAAUAAAAGUGCAUUGAUAUUGACUCUUUCUCAACUUUUUUUUUGUGUGUGUGUCUUUUUGUCCUUUUAGGGGCGCACUCACGGCAUAUGGAGGUUCCCAGGCUAGGGGUCUAAUCGGAGCUAUAGCUGCCAGCCUACACCACAGCCACAGCCACGCCAGAUCCAAGCUGCAUCUGCAACCUACACCACAGCUCACAGCAACACUGGAUCCUUAACUCACUGAGCAAGGCCAGGGAUCGAACCCGCAACUUUGUGGUUCCUAGUUGGAUUUGUUUCCACUGCGCCACGACAGGAACUCCUCUUUCUCAACUUCUUAAAGAAUGCUUUAUAUCUCUGUUUUCUUUUCAUCUCUUCUUUUUUUUUUUUUUUUUCUUUUUAGGGCUACACCCAGGGCAUAUGGAGGUUUCCAGGCUAGGGGUCCAAUAAGAGCUACAGCUACCAUUCUACACCAGGGCUACAGCAAUGCAGGAUCCAGGCUGCUUCUGCAACCUAUACCACAGCUCAUGGCAAUGCCGGAUCCUUAACCCACUGAGCGCAGCCAGGGAUCGAACCCGCAACCUCAUGGUUCCUAGUCAGAUUCAUUUCUGCUACACCACGUUGGGAACUCCUCUUUUCAUCUCUUCUUAAUUGACUUUCUUCUUAAGUGACUUUCUUCUCACUUGUUAUUGCUGUAUAAUCUCCUUUCCCUAGCUCCAGUAAAAAUUAUUUGAUUGCAUGGUGUUUGUUAAGUUUUCAGCUAUGUGUAUUGAAAGAACCAAACCCUUUGAAACAAAAUACCUACAGGUUUUCUAAAAAAUAACCAUUGAUAAUACUUUUUUUUUUUGUUCUGAAAAACCUCCCUAUAAAAUUAAGAGUAUGAAUAAUAAAAAUUAUGCUGAUAAAAUUUGUUCAAUGUAUAGAAUAUUUCUAUUGUCACAGUCUAUCUCUAUGAAACAGAGCUUUAAAUUAUAGUUAGCUACUUCCCAUAUUUAUAAAGUGGCUCUUUUCUGCCACAUUACGUGCAUGGGUCAGAAUAUAGAAAGCAAAGAUGUGGUUUCUACCUUCUAGGAAAUUAAGGUCGACUGACCAUAAUAUGGGAAGAUUAUGUUUGUGAUGUUUGUAUAUGAGAACAAAAUAUCAAAUUGUCAUCUGAGAAGUGCUAUGAUAGAGAUUAUGCUAGUAUUCUGGAAGAACAGUGUAAUGGUAUCCAGUUGACACUCUGAGCAAGAAAGUUUGCCUAGAGAAGUUGGCACUGGAAAGGAAUUUUAAAGAACUGACAGUGGUAGUUGGUUCUAUGGAAAAGGAUGAGAGAAGAGAAAGUUAACAGUUGGAUAGCUCUCAAGGUUCAUUCUUCUGUAAUUCAAGAGUUAGACUUGUCUUAAUUCAAUUUGUUCUUUUUCCCAACUAGCUUCUUUAGGACAUGCACAAACUGUUUCUAUUACUAUUUCUGUUCUUUUAAUUUGUAUGACUAUGAAUGAGUUCACAAUGUAAUUUUUCAAAAUCUUAGGCCACCUUCCUAAUUCUCUGAGGUUAUAUGAAAUAUUGGUAUUGGUUCUGAAUUUGUAAUGUCUUAAUUUUUGAUAUUUUUAAUUAAGGUUCAUCUGCCAUGCAGUCUGAACCAGUUUCACAAAGCUUUGCCGUAGUGAAUAUCCAUGACUCUCUUUAUUGAAAAGAUAAGAUUCAUAAUUACGCACCAGCUAUUAAAAAUGGAUUCUAUAUGUUAAUUGAAAAUAAUUUCUUCUCUUAAAAUGGUUACCCAGUGAAGUUUGCAUAUCCCAUCUAAUUGCUCCAAAACGUGUUUUUCACAAAUAGAAAGCAAGUGAACUUCAGCUCAACUCAUCCCAAAUGACGAUACACAUUAGUGUAUUCCAUCCAGAUUAAUGUGGUUUUGAAGUAUAUAUAAAUAAACAUUUGUUAUUGCGUUGUAACAAGAUUUAGAUUUAUAAUCUUUAAAAUUCAAAACGAGGAAAGAAAACUUUCAACAAUUUUAUCUAGUUUAACAUCAUAACAAAUAUAAUUAGAGUCUAAGCAGCUGUAUUAAUGAGGAGUCUGGGGUUAGAUGAUGAAUAUAGAAAAGGAAGGAAUGCAGAUAACUAAAUGAGAAUUGACCCCUUUGGCUGCAAAUGUCCAGAUCCUGAGAGACAAACUCAGAGCAUCUUCAUGUCUAUUGCAAGAACACAUUUUAUCUAAAACCAACUGGAGUAUUUUUCCAUGUUCUGCUACCAGCUGGAUGUAUGAAUUUGGAUGAGUGGUUUCUUUUUUUCUGUAACUGCAUUGUGCAGUCUCUUAAAUCUCUUCCUGUGUUAUGUAUUUAAUUCUGAUAUCUCCCACCACAAAGAUGAUUGGACAAAUUCUGUAAAGUGCUAAGCUGCUACUGGGAGGUGGGUUGUACACUCUGACAGGUGUAACCACUCUUUCAGGACAUUGGGAAUUAUACUUUAUGUCUUAAAAACACACCGAAGUAGCAAAUAUGUUUCUGUUUGUAUGCCGUGUUUGUGGUAGUGGUUUCCCAGAAUACUAUUAUCAAUUCUAAGAUCUGGAUAAGUCCUGGGUCAGCUGUAAUGUAUAGUAGCUGAACUUAAACUCCUUCAUGAAGUACAGACU